UGCCUAGCAACAACUAGGACCUGGGUAGGAGGCAAGCCGCAGCGGCGGCUUGUAACAGAUUAAAUCUCUGAAACACAAACACAGUUGGUAAUCGGCAGGAGACCCAGAUUUUACCUUGCUGAAAAAAGCUAUGAUGGGGGUGCCACAUAACCACUUCUUGUGUGGCCACUAUGGAAUCUAAGAUCGCAGGGUAGAGGAGUGGUUGGUGCUAAACUGGGUGCAGGUGUGCUACUUAGAGAUAUUGACAGUGUUUGUUCUGGAUCUGCCCCUGCUAGAUGAAGGAACAACCUACGAAGGAAAACGAGAAUUCUAUAUACAGAUAUGCACGGCAGCGCUCGAAGUGUGUUGGUAGGAACCGGUAUGUCAUAUCAGCACUUCAUUUCAGCAGCCAGCUCAGCGACACUGAAGCUUAGUGUGUCUGGCGUCUGUUUAAGUUUGGACCCGGGUGCAAGCCAAUCACAGCUCACAGACCAGCAUCCAAUCAGGGGCCAGUGGUGGCAUUCUGAAUUUGGUGUCAGCCGCAGCUAAUCCGAGUGGACAAAUUUAAAAUGCCACGAGGAGCAGCAUAUACAGCUGGCGCACCAAACUAAGGAGGGAGCCGCUGCCAUCAGUUACUGUGAGUCACUGUCACUCGGUCCCUGGAUCCAGCUGUUCUAUUGUUUGUACUCUUAUGGUGCACUGUACCCCUGUUCAUUUAUUAUUUAUGUACAUAUAAAAACCCUUUGAAGUGCCAA